rnacentral:rRNA from 1 species
AUUGAACGCUGGCGGCAGGCCUAACACAUGCAAGUCGAACGAGUGGCGGACGGGUGAGUAAUGUCUGGGAAACUGCCUGAUGGAGGGGGAUACCUACUGGAAACGGUAGCUAAUACCGCAUACCUUCAGAUGUGACAAGAUGGGAUUAGAUAGUAGGUGGGGUAAUGGAUCACCUAGGCGACGAUCCCUAGAUGGUAUGAGAGGAUGCACAGCCACACUGGAACUGAGACACGGUCCAGACUACUACGGGAGGAAGCAGUGGGGAAUAUUGCACAAUGGGCGCAAGCCUGAUGCAGCCAUGCCGAGUGAAUGAAGAAGGCCUUCGGGUUGUAAAGUACUUUCAGCGGGGAGGCGUUACCCGCAGAAGAAGCACCGGCUAACUCCGUGCCAGCAGCCGCGGUAAUUC